AAAACACAACAAAAAGGUAAACAUUUUACAAAGAGAAAUAGGGAGUUUACAAACAGUAACCUUAAAGGUCAUGUGAGACAUAAUGCUGUUGUCUGUGGCUCUGUAAAUCUGAAUCAUGCUUUUAGGGUUACGGUAGCUGAACUGAUAGGUUGGCAUUUAAUUGACUGUAUACAAAAAAGGAAAUAAUUUAGAAGUUGCUUUUGCCAGUCAUUGCUGGUCCAGCUAGCAUUCAGAGCAGUCUCUGAAGAAAAGAGUAGUGGGGAAUCUUGAUAACUGUAUAGAAUUUGUGAGAAGAACUGAUUUUAGUCAGUGAGAGAAGCAGGUAGUAGAUUCUUGCUGUAGUAAUUUUUCUAUUUUAUUGGGACCUUCUGUUCAGUGAUUUUGUGUAUUGGGGUUAAACGAGGACAACAUUAAAUGGGAGAGAACAGGGAAUCAGACCAUUUCUGUUUCUCAGGGUCCCAAGGGUUGCUAACCCUGCUGUGUUACUUUCUGUAUUUCAGCUACUACCUGUCUGGCAGUGGUAAGGGCAAACAGAAGGGAUGUCUUGACUAGUCAGGGCCUUGAGAUAUACUUGUGGAUUUGGUUUAUUUUACCCUUUUGAGUCUGUAAGCCUAAGAAUAUGUCUUAUUCUUGUAGAAAAGGAAAAAAGAGAACAAAAUGAAGAAAAAGAAAGAAAAGAAGAAAAAGAGAGAGAAAACAGGACCUGUCCAGCUUUCCAAGUUCUUUAAAAACAAAAAGAAGAAUGAAAACUACAGCAUGAUAACCGGAAAGAAAAUUAAGAUGAAAAUUAAGAAGACUAAGGAAGAUAUAGAGAGAGACCGGAACCGUGCGCAGCUCCUGGAAUUUCUGAACUCUGCCUUGUAACGGGAAGAGUGCUGGCCAAGGACUUGGAGAUACACCAAGUCAAUGAUCAUCAUGCCUAGCAAAACACUAAAGGGAAACUCAGGGAAAAGGAUGCCAAGUUCGACAAGACCAGACCCUCCUGCUGAGAAGACAAUCGGGAUGUCCUUUUUUAAUGGCAAAAUGAAGAGUAGCUAAUAACUUGCUAAUGAAGAUCCAUGUCCUCCUUUUGAGAUCCUAAGGUAAUAGCCAGGCUGUGGUGUUUUAGAAAAGCCCAGGAGUGUGUCAUUGACAAUGAUAAGAAAUGACACACUGAAGUCAAAUAAUGUAAUUUCUAUCCUAACUGCAUGCAGAAUGCACUGUUAAUUUCAAAUGUCUUAAUUUUUCUAGUAGUUUAACCAGAGUAUUUGUAAAUGUCUGUUUGAAAGAUGAGGUGUUUCUUAUAUGUAUAUUUUUUUUCUGGUAGUGGUUAUACUUGUCCUAAAGAGCAAAAUGACCUCUGUAAAUAGAACAUGCUUUUACAUAAAUGAUUUUUUUGAAAGUUCACUAACUAAUAUAUUACUUUCUUUCAGAGUUUGAGAUAGGAUCUUUCUCUGACAGUUUAUUGCUCUCUCUCACUAGAAAAUGUAAAAGCAAAAUACUCUAGAGCAAUAACAGUAGCAAAUGAUUUGUAUCCUAAAAUAGAAGCAGAAAAGGUCUCUGAUUUUGUUUGUUUAUCUCAAUCAGCUGUUCAAAGGCAGCUCACAAUAAAUAGUUUACCCCCCCCCA